UUCCCAGACGGGAGGUGAGGAGGUCAGUCUGGACCUCUGGACAUUUGCAGCGCUAACUUGCAGACGUGUCAUGUGAAAGCAGUGUGAGCCUUUGAGUGUUUGACGGCGGUUUGUUUGUAUAUAUGCCGCAAAGCGCAAUUCAGAUCAUGAGAUUAGCUGUCAGGUCAUCUGCUGUGAAAUCCAUUAUGAAAAACACCCGGAAACUGAUGCUUGACUUGAAAUACUUAGUUUACUAAAUUGCAGAAAUUAUCUUUGGAAGGUUUUGUCAGAUAAAUACAUUUUUUUAAUGUAUCUAUAUUUAUAUCUCUAUAUCUAUCUACACGCGCACGCACACACACAUGCACACAUAUAUAUAUAAAAUAGUGUUUGCAGUAAUACCUCAUGCAAAGUGCUAGUUGAAUAAAUCUGUCACUGAAACUUCAAUUCCAGAUUACUACACUCCAAGAUCUGCUAUCAUAAAUGAAAACACAUCUUUAGAAAGUUCACAACGGUCUGAAGUAGAUGAGCUAUUGAAACGCAAUAGAAAAUCUACCCCUUACAGAUUAGUCAAACAAUGAAUGUAGUCCUGCAUGUAAACAUUGUCUAACUGUAUUGGCAGGGUAAAUGGUUCCUGAUUUACUACUGCAGGAAUAGGUAGCAUUUCCUAAGACUAUGAAUACUAAUAUAAAUGAUCUUGAGGGGGGAAAAAAGUAUUUUAAAUCUGUAAGCCUGGUCAAGCAAUUCAGAUGCUGAUAACAAAUCCAUCAAUUACCAAAUUAUUACACAUUUCCAAUAUUAUGAUUAGUCUCUGUGAGCAUCAAUAUACAAUUUGCUAGGAAGUAAAUCCUAAAUAGUUCUUGAAAUACUUUGAGAAAUAGUUUUAAUCUGUGGAUGUCCUGAAAAGCCACAGCCCUGAAUCAGGAGAUCAAAGAGGAACGAAACAGUCAGUUUUUUUAGGAUUUCAGUGAUGGCCUUUCUUGUUUGUUGUUGUUGCUACCUCUCUUUGUGUUUUCAAACUGCACACAGUCUUGUGUGCAUUAUGGAUUUAUGCAGUAAUAGCCAUAUUUACCUUUGCAGCCAUUUGAAUGUAGCAGCAAAGCAUAAGCUCCUGAAGGAGAAAAAGAUAAAAGAAGAAAAAAAAAAAGAGAGAAAGAAGCAGAGCAACACAGGUGGUAGUGAAGGCACACUUCUAGCUUCUUGUAGAUUACUGCCUUGCUGCAGCUGCUUGCCGUACCUGCAACGGAUGGUUUUGCCUUGA
rnacentral:lncRNA from 1 species